rnacentral:rRNA from 1 species
UACGUAGGGUGCAAGCGUUGUCCGGAAUUAUUGGGCGUAAAGAGCUUGUAGGCGGUUUGUCGCGUCUGCUGUGAAAUUUCGGGGCUCAACCCCGAACUUGCAGUGGGUACGGGCAGACUAGAGUGUGGUAGGGGAGACUGGAAUUCCUGGUGUAGCGGUGAAAUGCGCAGAUAUCAGGCGGAACACCCGUGGCGAAGGCGGCCAGCUGGGCCAACACUGACGCUGAGGCGCGAAAGCUAGGGGAGCAAACAGG